rnacentral:rRNA from 1 species
CCUACGGGUGGCAGCAGUGGGGAAUAUUGGACAAUGGGCGAAAGCCUGAUCCAGCCAUGCCGCGUGUAUGAAGAAGGCCUUCGGGUUGUAAAGCACUUUCAGUGGGGAAGAAAGCCUUGGGGCUAAUACCCUCGAGGAAGGACAUCACCCACAGAAGAAGCACCGGCUAACUCCGUGCCAGCAGCCGCGGUAAUACGGAGGGUGCGAGCGUUAAUCGGAAUUACUGGGCGUAAAGCGCGCGUAGGCGGUCUGAUAAGCCGGUUGUGAAAGCCCCGGGCUCAACCUGGGAACGGCAUCCGGAACUGUCAGGCUAGAGUGCAGGAGAGGAAGGUAGAAUUCCCGGUGUAGCGGUGAAAUGCGUAGAGAUCGGGAGGAAUACCAGUGGCGAAGGCGGCCUUCUGGACUGACACUGACGCUGAGGUGCGAAAGCGUGGGUAGCAAACAGGAUUAGAUACCCCAGUAGUC